GGCCCUGGGACCACUUGAAAAGCCAGCUAAUUGGCUGCAUCUGCCCUCGACUUCUUAUCCUGACAGGCAGACACACAGAGCAGUGACCUGAGAGCUGGGAGGCAGCUGCCUUCUCCACAUAAAAUGAGAAGAAGUUCGUGGCUCUACUUUGUCCAACUGCUCAAUUCUGCAUCGAAGGAACGUAAGUUUACCUAAACGGAUGGUUUGCUAUGGUCUGAAUGUUUGUGUCCUUCCCAGAUCCAGGCCAGCAUCUAAUCUCCAGGACAGUGGUAAGAAGUGGGGCCUUUGGGAGGAGGGUGGGUCAGGAGGCUGCUCUUAUCUGUGUGACUAGAGCUUUAUAAAGAGGCUGGCAGGAGCUUCUUAGCGUCUUCUGGAUCUUCUAUCACUUGAAGCUGCAGUGAGAAGGCGCUGUCUAUCAGGAACUGGCCUUCAGUAGACACCUUAUUUUUUGGUGUAUUGGUCUUAGAUUAUCUGGCCUCCAGAGCAGUGUGAGAGUAAAGUUUGUUGAUUACAGAUAACCCAGUAUGAGGAGUUUUGCUGUAGCAGCUGAAGUGGACCCCCAAAUGUAGUCUCAACACAUUAAUUGAUAACUUGCUUGAACCAAUGCUUUUUUUAAAAAAAUUAGGUUCCAAGUAAGAUUUUAAAAAAUGUUCUAGUUUUUUUCAGUGCGUGUGUGUGUGUGUUGUGUGUGUGUUUGUGUAUGUGUGUAUAUGUGUGUGUGGUAUGUGUGUGUUUGUGUAUGUGUGUGUGUGUGGUAUAUGUGUGUGUGAUGUGUGUGUGUGGUAUAUGUGUGUGUAUGUGUGUGUAUGUAUGUGAUGUGUGCGUGUAUGUGUGUGGUGUGUGGUGUGUGUGUGUAGUAUAUGUGUGUGGUAUGUGUGUGUGUUUGUGUAUGUGUGUGUGGUGUGUGUGUGGUAUAUGUGUGUGGUGUGUGUGUUUGUGUAUGUGUGUGUGGUGUGUGUGGCGUGUGUGUGUGUGUGGUAUAUGUGUGUGUGGUGUGUGUGUUUGUGUAUGUGUGUGUGGUGUGUGUGUGUGGUAUAUGUGUGUGUAUGUGUGUGGUAUGUGUGUGUAUGUGUGUGUAUAUGUAUGUGAUGUGUGUGUGUAUGUGUGUGGUGUGUGGUAUGUGUGUGGUAUAUGUGUGUGGUGUGUGUGUGUGUGUGUGUGUGUGUGUGUGUGUGUGUGUGUGUGUAUGUUAUAUGUAUGUCUGGUGUGGAGUAUAUGCAUGUACAGGUACCUUUGGGUAGAGCUUAGAAGAGGUUGUCUGGUGCUGAAGUUGUAGGCAAUUGUGAGCCACCUGAUAUGGAUGCCAAGGACUGAACUCGGGACUUUCUGCAAGAGCAGUUUGUAUACCUAACUGCUGAACUGUCUCUAAGCCUUCCAGGUGGAAUUUUGAUGUAGCACCUCAAUCUGAGAACAUGCUCUGAACUCUUCCUGAGUUUGAUGUUUAGGGGCCUGACUUCCACUAAGGUCAGACUAUAAGCAUUGUUUGACUGAAACCUACAGGAUCCAGGAGAUGUUUCUGGUGAGACAUUUGGUCACCCCACAAAUGUCUCCAAAAUUAAACUAUGAUAGUUUAGAUUUACACUGUCCACAAAGAUUUAUGUAAUUGAUGCUUGGCCCUCAAUGGGCUAUGUUGUAGUGAUGAAACCUUUAGGAAGUGGGUGUGGGCUUGGUGGUACAUGGCUAUAAUUCCUGCAUGUGCAAGCUUGGUGCCGGCCUGUUGAGGUUCGGUCUUAAGUGCUAAGUGUGGGGUCCCCAAGACCUGGUUGCCCCAGAGAAUCUGAAUGUAGACCCAAGUGAGCUAUGUGAUUCCCCCCACCCAAGUUAUUUCUGAUUGGUGAAUAAAGAUGCUGACAGCCAAUAGCUGGGCAGAAGAGACAUAGUUUGAGGAGAACCGUGAGGGAGAGAAGGUGAAGAAGAAGAUAGAGAGGCCAUGGGUUAGGAGUCAAGAAAACAUGGCCCUGAGGGCUGGCCAAUUGGAGUUAAGAGCAGCCCAGAUGAAACAUAAUAAGUAAUAGUCGAUAGGAAAUAGAUUUUCAUAGCAUAGAGGGUAGAUAUCUGCCGAGCUCUUGUGCUGUUUAAGGUUUGUUGUAAAUAUAAAGUGUGUGUGUGUGUGUGUGUGUGUGUGUGUGUGUGUGUGUGUGUGUUAUUCAGGAACUAAAUGGUCAAAGGCACAAAGGCAGGGAUUAAAAAUUUCUACAAGACCAGCCUGUCCUACGUAGGAAGGAAGUCUGCCUCAAAAUAUCAGAACUAAAAAGGAAAAAAAGAAGUGUAGAAGUGUUCCAGGGGCAAAGCAGGUAGGGGGUGGUGAUCACGGAACAAUUAACACAGCUCAUGGGACUUAGGACCAGGAAAUGCAGGCUGCUAUAAGAACAAGUCCAGCCUCUCCUGCUCGGUGUCCUGUCAUUGUGAUGCCAUCUGCCCAAAGGCAGCAGAGCCAAAGUGAAGCUGAAACCAUACCCUCGGAUUUUCAGAACUGAGAGCUAAAAACAAACAAACAAACAAACAAACAAACAACAACAACAACAAAACAAAACAAAAAAAACCCCAACAAAACCAACUUUUUUUGUCUUUACAAAUUAAACCAGCCAUGGGGUAUUUUGCUAGAGUAACUGCAGGAGAUGCAUAGGUGAAUAUAUAAACAAAUAAAAAGUGGAUGGGCAAAUACCUAGCCCCAACCUGCCUCUCAGGUUUCCUGAGACCCACACUCGGGCUUCAGGUUCCCCAUUUCUUCUUCAGGCCGGUGGUGUAGCUGAGGUCUCUCUGUGUGCUGUGAGAUCUCUCCGUGGGUUUUUUUGUUCUGUUUUGUGUUGGUUUGCUUUGUUUUUCCGAAUAGGAACCUAUUAAAAAACAUUGAAAACUCCAUGGAGCAGCUAACCGUGGAGUGCUAAAGGCCUUCAAUCCGCUCGGGGCUCUGGGGUGUGCACCAUCUGGAGCUGUGUCUUCAAGUCGGCAGCUCUGUCUGCCUGCUGUCUUGAGUCUUCUAUGUGGCCCCCUCCUAAUGACUGGGCCAUGCCAAGCUGCAUGUUGAAAUGCUAUCCUGCAAUGCUGGCACCACCUCCCAUUCAUUCACACAGCAUGCCUCAGCCAGCCAGAACCGGGAUAUUUGGUCCAUUCCCUUGGUCAUCUUGGGAGUUGAUGCUGGCCACUGGCUGGUGCUAGGAGAGGAAGCAGAACUGGCUCCAUCUUGAGGGGCACAUAAGACGAUGGAGUUUGCACCACUUUUGAGCUAUUUAAAGGAAAAGGAGAGUGAUUUCUGAAGAGGCAGAAUGCUCAUCAGGAUCAAGGGGUUCGAGACUCCUGAGAACACAGACCUCACUGCAAGUACCUGGGCCAGUAUGUCUACUUUGACAUGUAUAGACUUGCUGGGGUUGAUAAUUCCACGUAGGCUGCCUUUACAAUUAAGAACUGUGCUAAGAUGUGAGCUUUUCGUGUCCUCUUCCUGGGAGAUAGAUAGGUAGGUAGGUAGACAGAUAGACAGACUGACCAACCAAUAGAUAGUCUUGCAUGCUACCUUGACCUAGUGACCAGUCUCUGUCAGUCCUCCAUUGUCUGUCUCAGUGCAAGGACAUGCAACAGUCAGGCAUACCUUGUAAUAUUGAACCAUUCUUCUCAGUGCAUUCCCUUCCUGCCCCAUUUGCCUCAGAGAAAGACUAAAUGCAUCACAUCUGCCUGACAGGUACUUUCUGUCAUUUUGUCUCCGGAUCUGAGGACCAAACCCAGGGCCUCAUGCUUGCUAGGCAAGCGCUCUACCACUGAGCUAAAUCCCCAACCCUGACAGGUACUUUCUGCAGUCUACUAACAACCAGGGCCCUGGGUGCUAACUGCCUUGAGUGAGUCUUGGUUAGGGCCUUGGGUGAUCCUGUAAGGGCCCCUGGAGGAGGAGGAGCCCUUCUGAAUUAUUUCCUUAGAGGAAGAGUCAGGGCCUUUUCACUACUGUCCCGUCCUUCACCAUGGGUUUGGCUGAGGAAGGUUGACACUGCUGUGUCCAGUAAAGACUGUUCCUAGAGGAAUUCGACUGUAAGCCAUCAAACAAGAAACACAUCUGGAAGAUGGAGAAAAGAGCGAAUAUCUCCAUUCUGGAGAUAAAUCUGGGUUGCACAUAACAGUUUCCACCCUAGAGGGUCUGUUUCUCAUUCUCUUCUUGUGACAGUGCUACAGAGAACACCCUAGUUCUCCUCCCUUUGUUCAUGUACACAAUGCCCCUGCUUUGUAUACCAUGCAGUGUAUGUAGAACAUGGCUAUGUGUGCACAGCAGGUUGGGGUGAGCAAGGGAGAGCUUGGAUCCCAGAGUAUGCCACUAGUGUUGGGCUUCUCCCUUCCCCACUGUUCCUGAGUGCUAGGAAGACCAGUCACCUCAUCCCACCUGAGAGGGUUUGGACUCUAUUUGGGUGUCUGUGCCCGGGAUGUGCCGUAGGUGGGGCAUGUGCUUCAUCAGUUCUCUUCUUUAAAACUGGAAGGAGAGGGUGCUGACACCUUCCAGAAUUUCACACUGCUGUCAGACACUGUGAGGAAGCAUCCAAUCCCACUGCUUCUUGUUUGCCAGCUGAGCAUCUUUUCUCAACCUCCCUCAUCAUUUGCCUCCCUCCUCCCCCAUGUCUUUCUGACCCAUGAAUUUUAUACUGUCAAGUUGUCUAUCCUUGACUUGUGGGACACACUCAUUGCUUUGCACCCUGCACUGUGCCUGCUGUUAUGGUCAUGGUUCUCCCUGUCCACUCACCAAACAAAGCCUUUGCAUGUUUAGUUCUAGAUAGGUACAUUCGAUAGACAGUGUUCAAGUCACAUGCCAGCACCUAGCUGUAAGGGAGUCCAAAAUGAGUUCCCAGCCCUCUUAGCAUUUGUAGUGGGAGAUGAGUUAACUUUUCCCUAAGUUGUUUGAUCUGAGGUGUUCCUUGGAAGGGUAUCAGAUUUGGUACUCUCUUCUCCAAAAAGCAGUAACUAUCUAUCUUGGUGCUAAGAGCUCUGCCCUACACAGUUAUGGGGGGUUGUAAAGACCCAGAAUAUACAAUGACACCUGCCAGGUGCUUAAGAUGAAAAGUUACACCCGUCUCCUUCUAGGCUUUCCUGGGUCAGGCGUCCACAGUAUGGAUGGCAAACUCGGUGUAUUUGCAUUUGAAGCCAAGCACAUUGGGCACUGUGGUCAGAGUACUAAUGCUGUAGGGGCAUUUCUUCCUACAGCGUUUUCCCCCUUGCUCUUCGGUAGCACACGCAUCUACCAUGUAGGAGCGCUGGUGAUGCCAGAAGCCUCCUGUUAGGUCAAGACUACUAUACUUAUGACUAGUCCAAGAAUAUACUUAUGACUAGUCCUGGACAUAAAUAUAUUCUGUCUCCUGUGAGCGUAAGCCAUGCAGAUAUUCCCAGAGCCUGGUGGGUCAAGGGUGUGUAAGAAAGAUGGUUUUGGGUCCUGCUAAGCCAAGGAUUAAACAACUUGGAGAGCUCACUUAGGGCAGUGUGCUGACCUGUUGGGGAGUAACUGAGGCAGGCACCCCUUGGUAAUCCUAUCUAGA